CAAUUAUGUACAAAAAUAAUUGAUUAAAAUCAAAGUUGUAUUUAAAAGAUAUUAAAAGUUCUGAAUAUUUAUUCAUAGUUAGUAUAUUCUCUUUGUCAAUAUAUAUCAUUAAAUGAUGUGAAAUACAAGGCAAACUUAUUUGAAGUCCAAUGAUGGAUUCACUAACAAAUAAAUGUUAAAGGUACGAGUAAAAGUAGUAUUAUAAUUGUUUGGGGAUUAACCUACACCUUUCUGUUAUUCCAAUAAUGAUGAUAUCUUUUUCAAAAAAUAAAAAAAGUUUCAACCUUUUCUCUGCAUUAUUGAGCGGAGUAGCUUUUAUUCUUGUAGCGUG
rnacentral:misc_RNA from 1 species